ACAUUAAUUGAAUAUCAUCAUCAUAUAAUCGCGGGGAUAUGGCCUGCAAGUUUCUACCGGUUUACCGUAAAUGAACCGACUAUGAGAAAUAAUACAGUGUUG
rnacentral:ncRNA from 2 species